UACGUAGGGUGCGAGCGUUAAUCGGAAUUACUGGGCGUAAAGCGUGCGCAGGCGGUUUUGUAAGCCAGAUGUGAAAUCCCCGGGCUUAACCUGGGAAUGGCAUUUGGGACUGCAAGGCUCGAGUGCGGCAGAGGAGACUGGAAUUCCUGGUGUAGCAGUGAAAUGCGUAGAUAUCAGGAGGAACACCGAUGGCGAAGGCAGGUCUCUGGGCUGACACUGACGCUCAUGCGCGAAAGCCAGGGGAGCGAACGGG
rnacentral:rRNA from 1 species